GCUUAAAAUCCAAAGGACUUGACGGUGUCCCGCUUCACUAGAGGAGCCUGUUCUAUAAUCGAUGAUCCCCGCUUCACCUUACCACUCCUCGCUCAUAUACAGCCUGUAUACCUCCGUCGCAAGCUUACCACAUGAAUGCCAUAUAGCAAGCUUAAUGGCCUUCGCGCCAAUACGUCAGGUCAAGGUGCAGCCCAUGUAGUGGAAAGCAAUGGGCUACAAUUUCUAACUUAGAACAAACGAACAACCAUCUGAAAUUAUGGUCAUGAAGGUGGAUCUAGUAGUAAAGGGAAAAAAUAGUGUUCCCUUUAACAACGUCCCCGGGACGUGUACAAACCGCCCGUCACCCUCUUUAAUAACCUUUAUUUGUUAAUAACACCUAAUUUACAUCAUAAAAGAGGUAAGUCGUAACACGGUAAGUGUACUGGAAGGUGCACUUGGAUAAACAAAAUGUAGCUUAGAAAAGCCUUCCGCUUACACCGGAAAGACAUCCGUUAAAACCAGAUCAUUUUGAGCCCUAACUCUA
rnacentral:rRNA from 1 species